UCUGUGCAGGUGCAAGCGAUGGCCCUCAGCCUGGAGGAGGCGGGCCGGGAGAAGGAGAAGGAGUGAGAGAAAAACAGCUACUCUGUCUUCCCUAAAACAUCUUCAAGGUCUCUGGCAAGAGAUAUAUUCCCAAGGGGAGACAGCACCCAGCCAGGAGAUCUGUUCGACGCUCAACGGGUCUCUCUGUCUGUCUCUCCCUCUCAGUGAUCAGGUGGCAGGCUGCGCAUUCUCCAGCUCUCACUCGCUGUUUCUUUUUCCUAUGCAUAUACCUCUUUGAGAUGUUGCUUUAAAGAGGCAUAAGGCAUGGGAAAAGGGGGCUGUUGAGGUAUUCCACUUGGUGCCAACCAACAGCCCAAGGCUGUGUCAUGUGGUCUUGUGCCUGAGCGAGCCAUCGCUGUGUUUUCUCCUGCUCCUCUGCUGAUUUCAACCAGAGCAAAAGUUUGUUGGUGUGUGUGUCUGUGUGUGUGUGUGGGUGUGUGUGAGAGAGAGAGUGAGAGAGAGAGUGAGAGAGAUGAACUGUCUGUACUGCCAUUUCACAGUGGUCUUUAGAGAGGGGUUGAGGAAUGGUACAGCAAGCAUUAGAGACAUGUUUUCAGUUGCAGUGUAAAGUGCUGAUUCAAUAAUAAAAAAAAUCAAAGAAA